GACGAACGCUGGCGGCGUGCCUAAUACAUGCAAGUCGAGCGCUUCUUUCCUCCCGAGUGCUUGCACUCAAUUGGAAAGAGGAGUGGCGGACGGGUGAGUAACACGUGGGUAACCUACCCAUCAGAGGGGGAUAACACUUGGAAACAGGUGCUAAUACCGCAUAACAGUUUAUGCCGCAUGACAUAAGAGUGAAAGGCGCUUUCGGGUGUCGCUGAUGGAUGGACCCGCGGUGCAUUAGCUAGUUGGUGAGGUAACGGCUCACCAAGGCCACGAUGCAUAGCCGACCUGAGAGGGUGAUCGGCCACACUGGGACUGAGACACGGCCCAGACUCCUACGGGAGGCAGCAGUAGGGAAUCUUCGGCAAUGGACGAAAGUCUGACCGAGCAACGCCGCGUGAGUGAAGAAGGUUUUCGGAUCGUAAAACUCUGUUGUUAGAGAAGAACAAGGACGUUAGUAACUGAACGUCCCCUGACGGUAUCUAACCAGAAAGCCGCGGCUAACUACGUG
rnacentral:rRNA from 1 species